CCUAUAUAUCACACUACAGAGUCUCUAUAUUAUGAUAUCUAGGUGAAAGAGUAUCUAUGUGCUGAGAAUAAACUGACUUCUGUGACGUGA